AAUCUCGAGAAUGUAAUCCACUCGAGGAUUUUUAAUCUGAAAAUUAUUAAAAAAAAGGCGUGACAUUCUUCGAUCGUCGAAGGACAUCCGCCUUCGCUAAAUUUGACAUUGGAGGGAACAAUCGAAGCGGAAAUGCAUAAGUGUACAUCUUUUUGUCUAAACAAAAUAGAGACAAAAUUGUAGAAAUAAAAAUAACAAUUCAAAAAAAGAAAAAAAAAAUAGAAGAAAGAGCAUCAAUUUGAAGAAGAUACAUGAUUACAAUUACAACAGUAUGAAAGACAUCCUGAAUUUGCAUACAAAAUUGGAGAGUUUCGAUAGAGUGAUAUCCUAACUAAGGAUUAACGUCUUUCACAGAGAACUUGGAAAUAGAUGAAGCUGGUUGAACAGCUUUAUCUUUGAGGAGAGAUUGCUCGAAGAUAAAGUUGCAGUUUCUAUAUCCUGUCUUCUCAAGAAGUAAUUAGUCCUUUAUACCAUUACGUGACCGGAAUUUAUCGAUUUCUUGCUUGAUGAUUCUAUUGAAGUUAAAUAUAAAUGUAAUAAUAAUAAUAAUCAUUUAUCAAUUAAAUUAUUAAACAAAUCUUUAUUAAAAUUUCUCAAUAAAAUAUAUUUAUUUAUAUUUUAUUAAUAUAAGAUGGAUAAUAUAAUUGAAUAUUUUAGCAAAUUAAAAUUAAUAAAUGACGAGUCAUCAAUGAUA